AUAUACAAAUAUACAUAUAUAUAUAUAUAUAUAUAUAUAUAUAUAUAUAUAUAUACAAAAAAAGUAUCAAUCAGCAAUUUGCAUGAUAGACACUAUAAUAAAAAAUAUAUAUGUAUAUUGAUAUAUAUACAUAUAUUUUAAUUAGGGUAGUCCCCAAAAUAUUGGGACAUAUAAAAAAGAUAACUCUGUUCCGCAGAGUAGCUGUUGACAUUAUAGUUGCGCAGGCACUUUGUUGACUCUAGAGAACCUCGGGCCAAUCGCACAACUUCGUGACGGCGACUUUGCAUUCGGAUGUCAUCCAUAUCAACUUUUAAAGCCAGUUUCUGCGCCUACCAUGGUGACCACGGGUAACAGGGAAUCAGGGUUCCAUUCCAUACAGGGACCCUGAGAAACGGCUACCACAUGCAAGGAAGGCAGCAGCGCAAAUAACCCACUCCCGACGUGGGAAGGUAGUGACGACAAAUAACAAUGCAGGACUCUUUAAAGGCCCUGUAAUUGUAAUGAGUCCACUUGAAAUCCUUUAACUCUGAUCAAUUGGAGGGAAGUCUAGUGCAGAGCCACUGACCCGUGGGUGCUGCAGCUGAAACUCCACU